rnacentral:rRNA from 1 species
AUUGAACGCUGGCGGCAGGCUUCACACAUGCAAGUCGAACGAGCGGCGGACGGGUGAGUAAUGUAUCGGAAACUGCCUGGUAGCGGGGGAUAACUACUGGAAACGGUAGCUAAUACCGCAUACCAUCAGAUGUGCCCAUAUGGGAUUAGCUAGUUGGUGGGGUAAUGGCUCACCUAGGCGACGAUCCCUAGCUGGUCUGAGAGGAUGACCAGCCACACUGGAACUGAGACACGGGCCAGACUCCUACGGGAGGCAGCAGUGGGGAAUAUUGCACAAUGGGCGCAAGCCUGAUGCAGCCAUGCCGCGUGUGUGAAGAAGGCCUUCGGGUUGUAAAGCACUUUUAGCGAGGAGGCGGUACUCGCAGAAGAAGCACCGGCUAACUACGUGCCAGCAGCCGCGGUAAUUC